CAAAGUCCAGAGGCAUCAACACUAAUUCACAUCCUACCCUGUUCCUAAAAGCUUCAGCGAGUUCUUUCCCUACAUAAUAAGACUCUCCAUCAGAGGCUCUGCUUCUCACUGGGACUUGCUGCUUGCCCAGCAUGGUAAGUGUUUGCAGUCCUAUCACAGGAUAUUAAUUAAUCAUACAAAUAAAUCAUGCCAGAGAAAUAUUAAUUAAUCAUUGCUCCAGAAAAGAGCUCACCACAGACACUCUCUGUGGGCCCUCAGCAGAGCCUUGGAGCUGCUGGAAAUUCA
rnacentral:lncRNA from 1 species